rnacentral:misc_RNA from 1 species
GAUGAAGAACGUCAGUGAAAUGCGAUAAGUAGUGUGAAUUGCAGAAUUCAGUGAAUCAUCGAAUCUUUGAACGCACAUUGCGCCCCUUGGUAUCCCGAGGGGCAUGCCUGUUCGAGCGUCAUUUCACCACUCAAGCCUGGCUUGGUGUUGGGCGACGUCCUCUUUGGGGACGCGCCUCGAAACGCUCGGCGGCGUGGCACCGGCUUUAAGCGUAGCAGAAUCUUUCGCUUUGGAAGUCGGGGCCCCGUCUGCCGGAAGACCUGCUCGCAAGGUUGACCUCGGAUCAGGCAGGGAUACCCGCUGAACUUAAGCAUAUCAAUAAGCGGAGGA